rnacentral:rRNA from 1 species
GACGAACGCUGGCGGCGUGCUUCAUACAUGCAAGUCGAACGAGAAGCUGACUUCGGUCAGUGGAAAGUGGCGGACGGGUGAGUAAUAUGUAGGAAAUCUGCCUUUAGGAGGGGGACAACAGAGGGAAACUUCUGCUAAUACCCCAUAUGAGCGUAGCUGAAAUGCUAUUCUUGAAAACUCCGGUGCCUAAAGAUGAGCCUGCAUCUGAUUAGCUAGUUGGUAGUGUGAUGGACUACCAAGGCGACGAUCAGUAGCGGGUUUGAGAGGAUGAUCAGCCACAAUGGGACUGAGACACGGCCCAUACUCCUACGGGAGGCAGCAGUAGGGAAUUUUGAGCAAUGGGCGAAAGCCUGACGCAGCAACGCCGCGUGAACGAUUAAGCCCUUCGGGGUGUAAAGUUCUGUCAGUGGGGACGAAACUUGACGGUACCCACAGAGGAAGCACCGGCUAACUCCGUG